rnacentral:lncRNA from 10 species
AGUUUGAGUAAGCUGUGUAAGAGAGCUGCUGCUGAAUAAAACCAUAUUCACAUGCCUACGCGCCCCCCAGUGUUAUAUCUGCUCAUCCACCCACUGCCCUCAGACUUCAGCAUGGGCUGGACACGGACCCUGGGAUCUGACAAUUGGCAAUGAGGAUGGGAUGAGAAUUUACACUAUGCCUCAAUUUAGAUGAACUGGGAUAAUUUGUUAAUAACUGGACCACUCUGGCAGAACUUGUAAGCAUGGAUGUUCAUCAAAAAGAUGAUUAGCACCUGGGUAAAACUAAGAUUACUGACACAGAUGAAUGAAAGAGUUAAUGGAUGAUCUAUUCUUCAAAGUGACACACUGUAAGUGGCUUAAGAGAAUCUAAGAAAUUUUAUAUGGUUUCAAUUCUGGCAAUGCCAAACAAGCAAACAAACAGGACUCAAGAAUAAAAAUAGGUCUUGUUUUGGUUAUUUGUGUUUAAUUUUUCUCAAAUUUAGUUGGUAAAGGUAAUUGUCUUCAUUCCUCACUUCCUAAACAGGACCACCUCAUGAUCACUAGCCAUAUAUUGUCUCUAUAGUUUUGAGGAAUAGAAUACAAUUUUUUCAGUUACCUGGAAACUUCUUUUGUGACUUCUAAGGUAAAUAUCACUCACUAUAUAAUAAGAGGUGUCUUUUCUCCUUAGAAACACCAUUGAAAUUGAAGGCAGCUGUUGAUCUUCCAGCUUGAAAUAACUUUUCGUAUACACGGAGCCUUCUCAUAUCCACAUGAAACAAUAUAAACUAUUUUCACCUUUCUUAUGGAUUCCAAUUCCAGCUCUGUACUCAUUUUCAUAUGCCCUCUCUGACCCGUUUUAAAUUUCUGCACAAUUCUCUGGAAAUGAAGAGUCUCAGCUUGCUCACAUGAAUUUAAUAAGAUCAUUAAUCAUAUUGAAAAUAACUUGCUUACUAUGCUCAGGUUAAUCCAUUUGGUAACAUGCUUGAAUAUUACAUAAACACUGUAUGUUAACUACUUUUUUUUUCCUACCGUGAUGCUAACUGUUUGAUUUGAAUGAAUAACAUGGAAAUCCU